UUGACCUCAAAUCGGGUGAGACUACCCGCCGAACUUAAGCAUAUCAAUAAGCGGA
rnacentral:rRNA from 1 species